UACGGAAGGGGCAAGCGUUGUUCGGAAUCAUUGGGCGUAAAGGGCGCGUAGGUGGUUCUGUAUGUCUACCGUGAAAGCGUACGGCUCAACCGUAUUUUGUCGGUAGAAACUGCAGGACUUGAGGCUGGGAGGGGCUGGUGGAAUUCCCUGUGUAGCGGUGAAAUGCGCAGAUAAUCAGGAGGAACACCGGUGGCGAAGGCGGGUCUCUGGGCCGAAACUGACGCUGAGGAGCGAAAGCGUGGGGAGCAAACAGG
rnacentral:rRNA from 1 species